ACCUGAGAGAUCAGGUUUCCCCUUCGGGGGCAAAAUGACAGGUGGUGCAUGGUUGUCGUCAGCUCGUGUCGUGAGAUGUUGGGUUAAGUCCCGCAACGAGCGCAACCCUCGUUCUAUGUUGCCAGCGCGUUAUGGCGGGGACUCAUAGGAGACUGCCGGGGUCAACUCGGAGGAAGGUGGGGAUGACGUCAAAUCAUCAUGCCCCUUAUGUCUUGGGCUUCACGCAUGCUACAAUGGCCGGUACAAAGGGCUGCGAUACCGUAAGGUGGAGCGAAUCCCAAAAAGCCGGUCUCAGUUCGGAUUGAGGUCUGCAACUCGACCUCAUGAAGUCGGAGUCGCUAGUAAUCGCAGAUCAGCAACGCUGCGGUGAAUACGUUCCCGGGUCUUGUACACACCGA
rnacentral:rRNA from 1 species